CAGCAGGGCGCGCCGGCGAGCGAGGAGCGGCCCGCCCCGCCGCGCGGGCCCAGAGCGCCGCCUCAUGACUAUGCAUCGAGGGGCGUGGCCAGGCGCGCGCACGCCACGCCCCCUCCGCUGGCCGUCGGGAGGGGCGAGGUGUGUGGAGCGGGCUGGGGUGGGCGGAACCAUCCGCCGCAGUGCCGCGGGGAGGGCGGGCCGAACCAUCGCGGGAGGAGGCGCGGGCCGCUCCGGGCGCGACCCGCAGCAGGGUCACACACACCACAUCCAGGCACUGCUCAAACACCGCAAUACCGUGUAUGCUGCAGCAACUCUCCAAAUGACUCGAUUUCGAUUCUAUAAUCUGACAGAAGCCGGUUCUUCCAAGAGAGCACUUCUUGAUGGAAUCAGCGAACAGUCGAAACGCGAUCGACGUGAGGACAGACGAGGCCAGCGCGUGCGCUCAGGUCUCGAGGGAUUCAAGAGGAUCUGAAGUCCUUCGAAGCGUGUCCUCGCCCUGCAAUGGAACUAAAGUACCAGUCAGUAAUAGAAACAUGACGAAAAUCCCCACGUUUGGGGGGACUACGUAACACGCCUGUGAUAAAACACGCGUAACAGAAAGUUUGCCGUUUUGACGACUUGUAAGUGAGCGGCGACCUCGGGCGCUCACUGCUGAGCUCCGGUCCCACCGCUGUCCGCAAGGUGCUUCCGUCUGGGGAAGCAGGAGCCCCGUGACCCCUGAGCAGUAGCCCCCGGGCCCCGGGCCCCUGGUGCCCACAGCUCUCCUUGCUGUCUCUGACACCUUCCAGGCUCCUCCCACGAGAGGAAUCACAGCCUUUGUGCUGGUGUGACUGGCUUAUUUCAGUCGAUGUGGUGUCCUCUGGGUUCAUCCGCGCUGUGGCACAGCUCAGAACUUCCUUCCCCUUUAAGGCUGAAUCAUAUUCUACUGUAUGUUUAGAAAGAGAGAAGUGGGGAGAAAGAGAAUUUCUUGACCGGGUCAAUGAUCCGUCAAAACGUAAUCACCAGCAGCAGGCAAAAGCGGGCCAGGAGUGGAUGAGGCCACACUACAGAACAGAACAGAAGCAGGCUGGGGUCACAGACGCAGAGCGGACCGCGCGGGGGCCAGAUGCGUGUGCCCCCGCCUUCAGGGAGCCUGCUAGCAUGCACCGACAGGUUGAAGGAAGCACAACGAGCAGGAGCCGUGAAAUGUCCCCAGUGUGUGCAGCUGGCUCUGGGCGUGGGCUCUAAACCCAGGCAGGCUGAUGAGUCCUGAGCUCUGGAACCCGUGAUGGUCGGUUUUAUAUGUCAGCUCGGCUGGGCCGUGGUGUCCGGAUGUGUGGCCAAACACCAGUCCGGAGGUGGCUGUGAAGGUAUCUUUUAGAUGGGAUUAACUUUAAGUCAGUAGACUUUGAGUGGAGUAGAUUACCCUGCAAGGUGUGGGUGGGCCUCAUCUCAUCAGGUGAAGGUCUUGAGAGCAAAGACAGGUCCCCCAGGAGGAAGGAAUUCUACCAGCAGACGGACAUUGGUCUCGGACUCAAGCUGCACCAACUCUUACCAGAGUUUCUAGCCUGCUGGCCUGCCCUGCGAGUUUCAGACUUGCCAGCCCUUGCAAUGGCAUGAGCCAACUGCUUAAAACCUGUCUAUCUAUCUAUCUAUCUAUCUAUCUAAUCUAUCUAUCUACCUCUCUAUCAUCUAAAAUCUCCGUCUUAUCAGCUCUGUUUCUCUGGAAAGCCCUAACUAACAGUGCCCCUUUUCAUUUCUAUUUAGGUCUUAACAACAGCACAUUGAGGCCAUCGGGAGAGACCUGCAUUUAUUUAUUGCCCCGUGGCCGCCAAAGCUGCUGGGAGAUGGGCCUGGAAGGCCUGUUAGCCAUUCACCCCUGGUUCUUCCUGGAGGGAUUAUUCGGUUGAGACUCAGCUUCAGAAAAUGUGCCUUCAGGGGCCCCUGGCUGGCUCCGUGUGACUCUUGAUCUCAGGGUUGUGAGUUCAAGCCCCACGUAGGGUGUAGAGAUUACUUACAAAUAAAAUCUUGAAGGAAAGAAACA
rnacentral:lncRNA from 1 species